ACUAAGUACGUGACAGCAGCGGGUGUAAUGCGGGGGUGUAAAGGUGUAUACGGAAGUAUUUGGCGUAAAGCGUACGUAGGCGGUUUCAUAAGUCAGAGGUGAAAGCCCGCGGCUGAACGGUGGAGGGGCCAUGGAGACUGUGGGACUGGAGUGUAGGAGAGGAGAGUGGAAUGAGCAGUGUAGCGGUGAAAUGCGUAGAGAUGAGGAGGAACACCAGUGGCGAAGGCGACUUACUGAUCUGUAACUGACGCUGAGGCGCGAAAGCGUGGGGAGCGAACAGGAUUAGAUACCCUGGUAGUC
rnacentral:rRNA from 1 species